GAUGAACGCUAGCGGCAGGCCUAAUACAUGCAAGUCGAACGGUGUCUUCGGACAUAGUGGCGCACGGGUGCGUAACACGUAUGCAACCUACCUUACAUUGGGGGAUAGCCUUUCGAAAGGGAGAUUAAUACCGCAUAAGACAGUAGCUGGGCAUCCAGCAGCUGUUAAAGAUUUAUCGAUGUAAGCUGGGCAUGCGUCCAAUUAGCUAGUUGGUGAGGUAACGGCUCACCAAGGCAAUGAUUGGUAGGGGAACUGAGAGGUCAGUCCCCCACACUGGCACAGAGAUACGGGCCAGACUCCUACGGGAGGCAGCAGUAGGGAAUAUUGGGCAAUGGACGCAAGUCUGACCCAGCCAUGCCGCGUGCAGGAUGAAGGCGUUAUGCGUUGUAAACUGCUUUUAUACAGGAAGAAACGACUCUUGCGAGAGGCAUUGACGGUACUGUAUGAAUAAGCACCGGCUAACUCCGUGCCAGCCGCCGCGGUAAUAC
rnacentral:rRNA from 1 species